GGAGAUGUAAAAAACUCAUCAGGAAUAGAAAUAAAGUGGAGGCAGUUCCACCGAUGGCCUUAAGUGCUGAGGCAAACCACAUUGGUGAUGUAAUCCCAUCUGGAAGAAAACCUGGGGCACUCAAACGGCCACGAAUGGUCAGUCUGAAGGAGUUUCAAAAGCUUAUCAAACGCCAACACUCAAAAACAAGGAAGUCAAAAGAAAGCCAGGACAAGAAAACAAGUGAAACUGCAAAAGUUGUAGAAUGUGAGGAAGGGAAGACUUGUGGUCGCAAAUUUGAAGAAUCAACUAACGGGACAGAAAUGUACAUUGCUCAGCCUCAGAACAGGGACAGGGUUAAAGAGUGUCACGCCGUCUUCAAUGUCACAGUUGAUAAAAAUCACAAUCAAAUUGUGAACAAAUCAGCAGCUGAGUAUGACGAAUCACAGAGAGAUGAGACAAGCAGCUCCACUAUUAAUGAGACCUGUUGGUUGGGUGAUGAGUCCCUUCCGGUGGUUUCCUUCAAUGUUGAAGGUCUCUUUGUUGAAGAGGCCGAGUUACCAGCUGAGACGGAGAAGCCACUGAAGCAUCCUGAUGAAGCACAAACAGCCUGUGAGGAAGGCGUGUCAGAUAAACCACAGCAGACUGAAGGAUUGUCUCACAGUUACACACAUCUGCCUCAAGAAGACAAAAUGCCUUUGGUGCACAACUUGAACUCCCGGAUCCCUGAGAGAACUAGUCCACCUCGGUUGGGCGCUGUCGGGUUCGGCAGGAGCUCCGGCUGUGAUCAAGAGGAAGAGGAGGAAGAGGAAGAGGAGGUAGACGUACUUCUUUUCUCUCCAGACAAAGUGACUCUGACUGAAGUGUUUGAGAAUGGACUCGACAACAUGGAAAUAACUCCUGAGGAAGAAGAGGAGGAAGAUGUGAUUGAGAUUGAUGUAACUGGAGAUUAGGCAGAAUAACCUUUGUAUUUGUGCAUAGUUUUUACUAUGUUGUGUGAGCAUUAUGUUCUUGCUGUUGGGGUUUUUAUGUAUGUUUGCAAAGAUGUCAGACAAAGUAAAUUUUGCUGUGAAGCUAUGUACAAUAGAUUUUUAUGUCCUUCCUUUUCCGUUUUCAUCACCAGUUUGGCAAUUAUAAGCUGUGUGCACGCAAGGAUGUGUGCUGGUUUUACCUUCAUUUUGUUCCAUAUGCAAGGUUUAAAUGCUUGUUUAAUUUUCAUUAAUAAUAUGCUUAAGAAUUGGUUACACAAGAAAAAAAGUUCUUACUAUUCCUGUUUUUCAAUAAUUGUAUUAGUUUUGUAUUUUAUUUUUGUUUUCAGUACAUUUUGAAUUGACUAAUUAAGGUAAAAGCACUUUAGCGGCAUUGUGUCUCUGAAAGUGUCUGUUGUUGACCUUAUUUUGAGCUUGUAUUUGUAAAGCACAUCGUGUUGUGUAAAUUACAUAAUUAUAG
rnacentral:lncRNA from 1 species